CCUACGGGAGGCAGCAGUGGGGAAUAUUGCGCAAUGGGCGAAAGCCUGACGCAGCGACGCCGCGUGAGGGAUGAAGGUCUUCGGAGCGGAAACCUCUGUCAGCAGGGAAGAACGGUCACUGUGCUAAUCAGCAGUGAAUUGACGGUACCUGCAAAGGAAGCACCGGCUAACUCCGUGCCAGCAGCCGCGGUAAGACGGAGGGUGCGAGCGUUAAUCGGAAUUAUUGGGCGUAAAGCGCACGUAGGCGGUAUGUCAAGUCACGGGUGAAAGCCCCGCGCUCAACCUGGGAACUGCCUUUGAAACUGGCAAACUGGAGUGUGUGAGAGGAUAGUGGAAUUCCAUGUGUAGCGGUGAAAUCCGUAGAUAUCUGGAGGAACAUCAGUGGCGAAGGCGACUUACUGGCACAUAACUGACGCUGAGGAGCGAAAGCGUGGGUAGCAAACAGGAUUAGAUACCCCAGUAGUC
rnacentral:rRNA from 1 species